rnacentral:rRNA from 1 species
AAAAACUCCGGUGGUAUGAGAUGGGCCCGCGUCUGAUUAGCUAGUUGGCGGGGUAACGGCCCACCAAGGCAACGAUCAGUAGCCGACCUGAGAGGGCGACCGGCCACAUUGGGACUGAGACACGGCCCAAACUCCUACGGGAGGCAGCAGUGGGGAAUAUUGCACAAUGGGGGAAACCCUGAUGCAGCGACGCCGCGUGAGCGAUGAAGUAUUUCGGUAUGUAAAGCUCUAUCAGCAGGGAAGAGGAUGACGGUACCUGACUAAGAAGCCCCGGCUAACUACGUGCCAGCAGCCGCGGUAAUACGUAGGGGGCAAGCGUUAUCCGGAUUUACUGGGUGUAAAGGGAGCGUAGACGGCGGUGCAAGCCAGAUGUGAAAGCCCGGGGCUCAACCCCGGGACUGCAUUUGGAACUGUAUGGCUGGAGUGUCGGAGAGGCAGGCGGAAUUCCUAGUGUAGCGGUGAAAUGCGUAGAUAUUAGGAGGAACACCAGUGGCGAAGGCGGCCUGCUGGACGAUGACUGACGUUGAGGCUCGAAAGCGUGGGGAGCAAACAGGAUUAGAUACCCUGGUAGUCCACGCCGUAAACGAUGACUACUAGGUGUCGGGCAGCAGAGCUGUUCG